AAACAAUAACAAAGAAAUCCACAUUUAACAGAAGAAAUGACUUCACAAAAUAAAGAAUCAUCAACAAUGAGAAACACAUCAAAUUAUCCUUGGCAGGUCCUUAGUGCUCUGAGGACCUAACAUCAAAUGCAGAGAUUUAAUAACUGAGUACACUCUACUCCACAGGAAAACUCUGUUAAUAGAGCACCGCUGAUAUUAAUAAAUCUUUUUGUCUAUUCCAGGAAAAACACUCAACUUUUAACCACUUGUGGAGAGGCAGAUGUGGUAUAAUCCUGUCAGAGUAAAGUGGAAGGGAGACAAUUUUUUAUUACCAACGCAACCAUGGCUUGUAUAAGCUUUCUUUCUUUACUUCAAAACUAAGCUUAUUAAUACAUUCACCCUGUCUGUAAUAAAUAUU
rnacentral:lncRNA from 1 species